rnacentral:misc_RNA from 1 species
GAUGAAGAACGCAGCGAAAUGCGAUAAGUAAUGUGAAUUGCAGAAUUCAGUGAAUCAUCGAGUCUUUGAACGCACAUUGCGCCCCCUGGUAUUCCGGGGGGCAUGCCUGUCCGAGCGUCAUUGCUGCCCUCAAGCACGGCUUGUGUGUUGGGCUCCGCCCCCCUCCCGGGGGGCGGGCCCGAAAGGCAGCGGCGGCACCGCGUCCGGUCCUCGAGCGUAUGGGGCUUUGUCACCCGCUCUGUAGGCCCGGCCGGCGCCCGCCGGCGACCCCAAUCAAUCUUUCCAGGUUGACCUCGGAUCAGGUAGGGAUACCCGCUGAACUUAAGCAUAUCAAUAAGCGGAGG